ensembl:lncRNA
AUGCCUCCACCCCUGAGAAGAGGUUCAGAAGGGGCACUGGGAUCAGGGUGGGGGAAUGUUGGGUUUGGGGUGGGUGCAGGGGGUUGCCUGUCCACAUCCCUGACACCCCUGGAGGGCCAAGUUCACCCGGAGCACCAGAGACAUCACAGCUCUGGGGAGCUCUCCCACUCACAAGCUGGGGUCUUAACCUCUCUGUGCCUCAGUUUCCUCAACUGCCAGUUGGGGGCUAAUACCAUCCACCCCAGAGUUGUUCUCAGAAUGAAAGGAGAUGAUGUGCUGUCCAGGGAAGAUGGAAUUUGGGCAGGAGGAGCAGGAGGGCCUAAGUCCCAUCCCACCCCAGCGGUCCUCCACCAGGAAUCAAACCAGGGGAGGGCACAGUCCACCCGUAUGCCAAGGAUGCUAGAACUGGGGCAGCUGCUGCCCUAUAAGUUGGACUCCCAGAUUCCAUUUAUGGUGGGGACUCCUGGGUUAAGCCCAGCAAGUGCCUCAGCUCAGCCUCUUUCUUGGUUUAAUCCUGGCUUCACUGACCUCUGCCAUCUAGAACCUAGCAUGCCUCUCCUCGCAGAGCUUGUCAUGAACAGACACAAGAAACCACCUCAACUCCAGCUCUUAAUUUAGCUGUAGGUUAAAUAAGUGAUGGGCCUUUUCACUUCUCUCUUAAAUUGCUCCUGUUCACCUGCAGGUGAGGACCAGGGGAGCGGGUGGAAAAGAAGCAGUCUUGACUGGUCACUCCCAGCCCAAGAACUCCAGCCUCUUCCUCCUCCUCUGGUCCAGCUGAGCCUUCCAGAAUGGGGCUGGCCUGGAGUAAGGGGCCAGAGACAUGGCCAACGAGAUGAGAAGCCAAAGACAUAAAUCCUGCCCUCUCCACAGGCGGUUAACAUCACGUGGGUCUCACCCUUAGAUGUUCUAAUAUAAUUGGUCAUGGUUGGGGGUGGGGACUCAGCGCCUGAUUUAUUCUCCCCAGGUGAUUCUAAUGUGCAGUCCUGAUUGGUAACCACGGGGUCUUAACACUAGAAGUCCUUGGCGUGUCCUGUGUCCUCCCUACAGUUAAGCUGGGUGAUGCCAGGCUGUCUACAGAGAAUGUCCAUGGUGGUCAAACCUCCUGCACCUUCUGGGAAAUCUGGAAUACCAGGGAAGGCUUGAAUGAAGCCCCUGUGGUCUUCUGGGAGAAGUGGGGGCAGUCUCCAUUUCUGGGUUCAGGCUCUCGAGGAGAGGGAAGAAGUGUGCCCACCUUUCAGAAGGCUGGGCGUGUGAAAGGCUUGAUAGUUCACAGACCCCUGGGCCACCAUAUCAGCAGUGCAGGAUUGGAAGGGGGGUGGAGAAGGUAGCCCAGUGUCAUUCACACAUCCUCCAGGAAACACGCUGAGGACUGAAACAGCUGUGAAAGAAAAGUGAAAGUGAAGUUGCUCAGUGGUGUCUGACUCUCUGUGACCCCAUGGACUGUAGCCUACCAGGCUCUUCCGUCCAUGGGAUUUUNNNNNNNNNNNNNNNNNNNNNNNNNNNNNNNNNNNNNNNNNNNNNNNNNNNNNNNNNNNNNNNNNNNNNNNNNNNNNNNNNNNNNNNNNNNNNNNNNNNUCCAGGCAAGAGUACUGGAGUGGGUUGCUAUUUCCUUCUCCGAGGGAUGUUCCUGACCCAGGGAUCAAACCCAGGUCUCCCACAUUGUAGGUAGACGCUUUACUAUCUGAGCCACCAGGGAAGUCCACAGAGCUGUGAGGACUGGUGCUAAUACACUUAAUACAGCAUCGUGGCCAAGGGCUGGGUUCAGAGUCAGGUGACCUACGGUCACAUCGUGGUUCCAUUCCUUAUUAGCUUUGUGUCCUUCGGCAAAUCGCUUACCCCUCUGGACCUCGUUUCCUUACACGGCUGUCACGAGGAUGAAAAGAGUGGGUGAACUUAAUAAAGCUUGCAGUGCGUGUUGGUGAGAAAAUUUCUGCCGCUGAAAUUCUCAUGAUCGGAGAGGAGGCCCUUGGUGGGCAGGGCUCCAGCAGGGCACAGGCACACUGGGUGGCUAUGCUACAGCGGCAUUGCCUUGCUGAACUGCAAAUACUGGGAAAGGCAUGACUGGCCCUCCUCAUGCAUGAGGAAAUGAAGCUGAGAGAGAGUGUGCAGCUUGCCUGAAGAACCACAGUAUCCAAGCCUAAGCCAUGGACACCAAAAAUUCCUUCCCAACUCCUCUCACUCUUGUGUCCAUUUUCCAUGGAAGCAAGGCCUUGGAGUCUGAGUGUGAGUGAGGGAGGGCCAGGGAAGCCCUUUCUUGCUGUUUUAAAAAAGAAAGGUCUGGGGUAUCUGCUUUACAAUAAGAAAGACAGCAUGUUAUCUUCUUUAUCGAAACUUUAUGGCAAAUGUCUAAAUACCAACAGAACACUCUAGAGGCCAACUCAGUUUUCUAGAGUAUUUAUGCAAUUUACAUGAAACUGGAAUGAUUUAUUUGCCUUUUUUUUUCCCCCCACAGAAAGUGCUAAAAUCUUGGAAAUUUGGUUUCUGAUAAGUGAGGGUAUGAGUCAAUUUGAGCAACCUAGUUUAUUCGAGGGAAUCCCUUCCUCAUUAGCAUUUCAGGGUGGUGGCUAGGAUGUGGAGACCCACACUCACCAUUGCCCUGGGGGCUGCUGGGCCUCAGCUUAUUAAUUUAUGUAGUCAGGAUGCUAUACUGAUGUCUAAGCCCUCUAAUCCUGCUGCUGCUGCUGCUAAGUCGCUUCAGUUGUGCCCAACUCUGUGCGAC